UACGUAGGGUGCGAGCGUUAAUCGGAAUUACUGGGCGUAAAGCGUGCGCAGGCGGUUCGUUGUGUCGGCGGUGAAAGCCCCGGGCUUAACCUGGGAAUGGCCGUUGAAACUGGCGAACUGGAGUGUGGCAGAGGGGGGUGGAAUUCCGCGUGUAGCAGUGAAAUGCGUAGAGAUGCGGAGGAACACCGAUGGCGAAGGCAGCCCCCUGGGCUAACACUGACGCUCAGGCACGAAAGCGUGGGUAGCAAACAGG
rnacentral:rRNA from 1 species